UACAGAGGGUGCGAGCGUUGUCCGGAAUCACUGGGCGUAAAGGGCGCGUAGGCGGCCCCGCAAGUCGGCCGUGAAAUCUCCGGGCUCAACUCGGAGGGGUCGGGCGAGACUGCGAGGCUCGAGGUGGGCAGAGGGCAGUGGAAUUCCGGGUGUAGUGGUGGAAUGCGUAGAGAUCCGGAGGAACACCAGUGGCGAAGGCGGCUGCCUGGGCCUGGCCUGACGCUGAGGCGCGAAAGCGUGGGGAGCAAUCCGG
rnacentral:rRNA from 1 species